rnacentral:rRNA from 1 species
UCCUACGGGAGGCAGCAGUGAGGAAUAUUGGUCAAUGGGCGAGAGCCUGAACCAGCCAAGUCGCGUGAGGGAGUACUGCCCUAUGGGUUGUAAACCUCUUUUGUCGGGGAGCAAAAGCCGGACGUGUCCGGCUGUGAGAGUACCCGAAGAAAAAGCAUCGGCUAACUCCGUGCCAGCAGCCGCGGUAAUACGUAGGAUACGAGCGUUAUCCGGAUUUAUUGGUUUUAAAGGGUGCGCAGGCGGAUUUUUAAGUCAGCGGUCAAAUCGGUGGGCUCAACCCCCUCCAGCCGUUGAAACUGGGGAUC